ACCAAAUAGAUACCCGGGUAGUCCACGCCCUAAACGAUGCGAACUGGAUGUUGGGUACAUUACGGUACUCAGUGUCGAAAGCUAAACGCGUUAAGUUCGCCGCCUGGGGAGUACGGUCGCAAGACUGAAACUCAAAGGAAUUGACGGGGGCCCGGCACAAGCGGUGGAGUAUGUGGUUUAAUUCGAUGCAACGCGAAGAACCUUAACCUUGGCCUUGACAUCUGUCGAAUCCUGCAGAGAUGCGGGAGUGCCGCAAGGAACGACAAGACAGGUGCUGCAUGGCUGUCGUCAGCUCGUGUCGUGAGAUGUUGGGUUUAA
rnacentral:rRNA from 1 species